GUAGUAGAAAUAAACAUGUUAAGAAUCCAUAGAAGCAGAGGACUUGUUUUUUAUUUGUUUUUGUUUUUUUGUUUUCUGGACUAUUAUUAUGUUGUUAUGUUUGUUUGACCAAUCAGCAGUCAAAUAUUCAAGUUGUUUAUUCGUUUUCUAUCCCUAAAUGUAAAAAUUAAAAAUGAAGCCAAAUUCUUGUGUCACUAAUUGGCCAGGUCUCCUCGCCGGGCAAACCCAGCGCACUCCCUCACCUGAGUAUUAAUCACACGCACCUGCCAUCCAUCUGAACCCUCAUCAAACUGGCUUCAUAAGCACCCAGCACCUCACUGCAGCGUCUGGUCUCGUUGAUAUACGUUAAGGACUAAUGCUAGUAGCAUCAUUGCUACUCUCUUUAUCUAAAUGUCUGAAACUGAACUUACCUCCUGUUAUCUCCCCAGCAUGUUUCCCUCGUCCAAGUCCUCCAUGGUCUCCAUGCUCCUGGUCUUCAGCUCCUUCCCGAAUUCCUGGUUCUAAGUGUGUUGGUGCAAGGUGGAUGGAGAUCUCAAGGCACUGCCCCAAAUGCAGAUCUGAAGAUUUUGUCAUCACAGAAGUUGCAGGCCUAUCCAAAGUUCUUGAAGUCACUAAGAGUUCUGUGUAACAGUAUGCAUUUUCCCACUUCCUGCAUUAAGUUCUAAUGUUCUUGAAGCCACUAAGAGUUUUGUGUAAUUCUGUGUAGAACAGUUUGCAUUUUUUCCACUUCCUGCAGUAAAAUUUGUUCAGUCAGUAAGGUCCAAGCAGGGUAUGUGCAAAUGUGGUUCUUUUCUAAAACAUUGCAUACAUUGCAAACAUUGCAUACAAUUUGUACAGAUUACAUUUUCCGUUGUACUUACUGACGUACACCUCUGCAUGCAGACACCCAACUGUACAAAUUCAUUUAUAGAUUUAAAAGCCAGUCCUGAACCUGGAGAACCAUGUUCUGCAGAGUUCAGUUCCAACACACUUGCUUGGACAUUGCUACUGAUCCUGAAGACCUUGCUUAGCUUAGGUGUGUUUAUUCGGGAUAGC
ensembl:lncRNA